rnacentral:rRNA from 1 species
ACGGGGGCCCGCACAAGCGGUGGAGCAUGUGGUUAAUUCGAUGCAACGCGGAGAACCUUUACCUGGUCUUGACAUCCACAGAACUUUCCAGAGAUGGAUUGGUGCCUUCGGGAACUGUGAGACAGGUGCUGCAUGGCUGUCGUCAGCUCGUGUUGUGAAAUGUUGGGUUAAGUCCCGCAACGAGCGCAACCCUUAUCCUUUGUUGCCAGCGGUCCGGCCGGGAACUCAAAGGAGACUGCCAGUGAUAAACUGGAGGAAGGUGGGGAUGACGUCAAGUCAUCAUGGCCCUUACGACCAGGGCUACACACGUGCUACAAUGGCGCAUACAAAGAGAAGCGACCUCGCGAGAGCAAGCGGACCUCAUAAAGUGCGUCGUAGUCCGGAUUGGAGUCUGCAACUCGACUCCAUGAAGUCGGAAUCGCUAGUAAUCGUGGAUCAGAAUGCCACGGUGAAUACGUUCCCGGGCCUU